CACGUAGGGCGCAAGCGUUGUCCGGAAUUAUUGGGCGUAAAGAGCUCGUAGGCGGUCUGUUGCGUCCGCUGUGAAAUCUCGGGGCUUAACCCCGAGCCUGCAGUGGAUACGGGCAGACUAGAGGUAGGUAGGGGAGAAUGGAAUUCCCGGUGUAGCGGUGAAAUGCGCAGAUAUCAGGAGGAACACCGAUGGCGAAGGCAGGUCUCUGGGCAUUAACUGACGCUGAGGAGCGAAAGCAUGGGGAGCGAACAGG
rnacentral:rRNA from 1 species